CGGGCGCCGACGUCCACUUACCCGUCACGUGCUUCUGAAGAGGAUCCUAUGGAAGCCGCCAAUCAGAGAGCAGCACUACUGAAAUAGAACUCCCAGGAGGUAACAGCGUGUCACACAUGUGAUGUCAUAACCAUUGUCCACCAAAGAGCAGCACUGAGCAGAAAUAACACUGCUCCUGUUCAUUCUCCAUCAGUGAGGGGCCGGUGCUGGACACUGUGUAGGGACGCGGGAAUGCAAAGUCAUACACAUGACUGUGACUGAUGCACUAUCUCCAGGACAUGGAGUAGCAUUUCCGGACCUACAGCAAGACGUUGGAUGAAGGCAUAGCCCCAGAAAUAACACUGGUCCUGUUCAUCAGUGAGGGGCCGGUGCUGGACACUGUGUAGGGACACGGGAAUGCAAAGUCAUGCACAUGACUGUGACUGAUGCACUAUUUCCAGGACAUGGAGUAGCAUUUCGGGACCUACAGCAAGACGUUGGAUGAAGGCACAGGCCUAGGAAUCAUGCACAUACACAGAAACAUUUGCCCAAAUUAUAGAGGUAACCUCCUUUAGUAUGCCCAGAGGAAGGGCCAUACAGUAGCCAUGGAUUCCCUACAGGUUUCCUCCCCUCUGGAGGUUUUUCCUGUCCUGAGUAUUAGUUACUGUACGCUCUUUGUGAGUGAUGGGAGGUUACAAAAAGUCCCCUACACAAACAUUUUAAUAAAU